rnacentral:rRNA from 1 species
CAGGCCUAACACAUGCAAGUCGAACGAUGCUUUCGGGCAUAGUGGCGCACGGGUGCGUAACGCGUGGGAAUCUGCCCCUUGGUCUGGGAUAACCGUUGGAAACGACGGCUAAUACCGGAUGACGACGAGAGUCCAAAGAUUUAUCGCCGAGGGAUGAGCCCGCGUCAGAUUAGGUAGUUGGUGUGGUAAAGGCGCACCAAGCCGACGAUCCUUAGCUGGUCUGAGAGGAUGAUCAGCCACACUGGGACUGAGACACGGCCCAGACUCCUACGGGAGGCAGCAGUGGGGAAUUUUGGACAAUGGGCGAAAGCCUGAUCCAGCCAUGCCGCGUGUGUGAAGAAGGCCUUCGGGUUGUAAAGCACUUUUGUCCGGAACGAAACGCCGAGGACGAAUAAUCCUUGGUAAUGACGGUACCGGAAGAAUAAGCACCGGCUAACUACGUGCCAGCAGCCGCGGUAAU